GUGUGUAUGUGUAUGUGUGUCUCCAAAGUAGCUAAGGUAGGGAUGUGUGUGUGUGUGUUAACUUUUUGUAAGGAAGGCAUCUCAUAGCCCAGACUGGUACCGAAUUCCUGGCUUCAAGCAAUCGUCCGUCUCUGUCUCCCAUGGAAUUGCAGGCCUGGGCCAAGGCACCGGCCUUUUUUCUUUCAUUUGUUUAUUUAUGUAUUUGGUAAGCAUUUGAAAGAAGCUGGGCCUUGAUUUGGGAGUUCUCUCUUCGACUAUAUUUCGAGCUUUGCCGAGGACUUGAUGAUAAUCUUGUUUUAAGCCCUGAAAUAAAUCUUGGGGUCCCAGAGCUAUGUUAAUGUUGAAUUCGCUGUGGAGUGUUUUGAGUUCCUUGGAAGUUAAUGUGAGGUAGAGAACUAAGUUAACACAAUUCAUCAACUGCCCUUGUUUUGCUUUUAGAAUGCCGUCAGGUAUUGUCGCUUUGGGAACAAGUUAACUUAGGGCGGUUGACUAGGAUCAAGGUAUGUGAACGAGCCUGGCUCAGAGAAAAGUCCAGUAAAUGGUCGAAUUCCCUCCCAAAGCCCACAAUGUCAGCCAUCCCUGACUUUUCUUGCCUUUAUUGGGAAGAAUAUAAGGUGCGGAAAAAGCCUUCCCACCCUUUUUUCCAAAUACGUACUAAAGGAGUCAUGAGGGGCUGGGAAUGUUGUUGAACUAGUUCUUGAAAAAAAAAAAAACCAGCACAAGUAUCUUAAUUUUAUAUAUGAGGAAACUGAGGCCCAGAGAGAUGAAAUCAUGCCUUUUUCAGAUCUCAGCACCUGUUAGUGACAAAUCCAGGUACUAAAGGGAAGACAAGGAAUGAGGGACUUGUUAUUUAGCAUCAGCAAUGUGGGGCCAUCUUGUGAAAGGCUUUAUAAGCAUUUCAUUUAAUUCCCUGCAUCUAGCCAUUUUUUAACCUGUGCUUUCCCUCCUUCUCACAGGACUGUUUUUACAUUUAUUAGUCCAUAUUUUUUUUAAUUUUUUUAAUUUUUUUCUCUUAAUUCCUUCAGCAUAGUCCAUAUUUUUAAAAGCUCCAUCCUCUCAACUGUAUUAAUGCUGUUUGUUAGGAUAAGUGACAGAUGUCCCUGGAAGAUAAAUGGCUGCAAAGUGGUCAUGCUGACCCGACGAGAGAGGAAGUAUAAAAGGGAAGUUCUGAAGGACGACAGCCCUGGAGAGGGUGGGUAGACAACACCACUGCCAAAGAGUGCCCUUUCCUGAGGCUGUGUGGGCCCUCCUGCGUCCUGGGAAAACUGACUGGGGCACAUUUAUACUUGCAUGUGUGUAUUCAGAUUUUCUGGGCUAUGGAGGUUGGGUCGGAUGGCUGAACCCUUGGGAGAGGAGCUCCCUUGUCUGCUGUGAUUGCUGCUUUGUACUUUGGGCCAUACAUGAAAGUCAGCAUCCAGUCAACGAACCAUCGGAAUGUGGUGUAUCUACUCAGGCGCAUUAAGCAAUUUUUAUUUCAUUAUAAAAUGUAUAACAUUUACAUUCAAAUUAUGGUUUCUGAAGGGCUUAAAAGGAGAAAGAGACAAUGACACUAAGGUGACAGCAUGGCUGGCUGCAUGCUUCCUGUCCAGUCAGGUCGCUGGGCAGUGUUAAGUGGGGAGAGCAUCUGGAGGACUAGAGAUCAGUGUAGCCACGUACCCUCAACGAAGCAUGGUACAGCCUCUGGUCUGCCAGGAUCUCCGCCCCUCACCACCCCUACCUCCUCUGACAUUUCCACCAUAUUCCCCUUAGGUAUGUACCUGUUUGCACUUAUUGAGAUCGGCAAUCCUGGAGAGAAAGGAUACGUACUAAAACCUCGCUAGUGGUUUACCCGGGUGCCGACCCCCUCAAUGCACCCCACAUGCACACUUCAAACUCCUCCAGGCAGGUGCUCCCUCCCUGACACACAGUGACACUUUGGGGAAAAUUACAGAACGGUAACCAACUGAGCGGAGAAAUGUGAUGUCAAAAUGAUACUAAUGAGAGAUGUCAUUUCUUGAAAGCUUGCUAGCUGCCAUGUACUGCACUAUUUCUAACAUCUAAAUCUGAUAAGUUGUACCCCAUUUUAUAAAUAGACUGCUUUAACUCUGGUAAGUAAACUUAUGCAAGAUCAAAGUACUGAGAAAUGUCCUAACUGGGGAUUUGAACCUGGUUCUAAUUUCAAAGUCCAAGCUACAUCCACCCAAACCUCCUACCUGCCAUCUCCAGGACUUUGUGAAUGGAAAAGCAAGUGCUACUUCUCUCCACUUUUUCUGCCCUAAAGGAAGCUGGGAGCUAACUGCUUAGGACUGGUACUAAACUUUAAGAGAGAGAAAAGGAUGACAGGAGACUUGUUAUUUCUGUGGGGCUCAGCCCUUCGACCAGAGUAAGAAGACAAGGUUGAGGAAUAGCCAUAUGCAGAAACAAUAUGAGUAUCUAGCCACAGCAUCUCUAACACUGUGUCACUCUGGAAUCUGAAUGCAGGGACAGUUCCUCAGUAGACUGUGGAUUUAGCCCAGAGUGUGGACUAAGGGAGUGGGAAAGGGCAGAGGUAUGCCCCGAGCGCUGUAACAAGGCCUGUCCUCCAGCCUGAGGAGGAUUGGGAGGAUGGCUUGAGUCUGGGAGUUGGAGGCUGCAGUGAGCUGUGAUUGCACCACUGCACUCCAGCCCAGGUGACAGAGUGAGACCCUGUCUCUAAAAAAAAAAAAACCGACCUGGAUCUACUCAUACCCACGCUGCUCUUUGAGCAGAAAGGAUCAUUUGGGAAUUAUUUUGUCUCAUCUUCCACCAUGAUCACUGUUGAAGAAUUUGGUCACUGUAAACAGGUAAACAUAAAACUCAGGUGAACUCUAGCUAAGUCCGUACUCUUCACACUUUUUUGGCAAUAAUAGCUUUGUUUUUCAUAGAAAAAACAAAUUUUCUGUGGAACUACACUAUUUAAAACAUAAGCAGUAUUAGUAUCAACUUACAUAAUUUAUCAAAACAAUCAAGAAUAGGCUACCUUAAUUGAAUCAGGAGAUAAUUGCGGUCUUACCUCAGCCACACUCAUAUCCAUGAAAUAUGAGUCAGUCAUUUGCACAACUCCCUGAGUCACCUCCUGGAACACAAAACACUGAGCCAAGUUAGCCCAGGACCUGAACCUGGACCUGAAGGAAAAUGCGUAUUGUCUCCUCGGGGUAUGGCCACCCUGUCGCCUGGUAGUCAGUUUCUCAUGUCAGUUACAAGCAUUUCUAAGGCAGUUGUGGCAUAACUAAGACCUUCUGUGUGUUGUGCUACUGCAGUUCCUCCUGUCACUGACCUCUCCUUCAAAUGAGGCCUGCCUUUUGCCCUUGGUGGUAGGCAGUCCACAGUGUAAGCAGCUACAGGGAAAGCAUUCACUUUGAUAGUACUUGACCUUGAUUGAGGCAGGUGACUCAUUUAUGGAUAACAUUUUUGAGAAUAUACUGAGCCAGGCAUCUUGAGGAUACAAAAGUGGAUAAGAUACAGUUUCCAUUCUGGAGAAAUUCACAGUCCAGUAAGGUAAACAAUCACAAGAGCAAACUGCCAGCAGUGAGAAUGAUUGCAGCCACUGAGUGGUGAAAUCUGAGGAAUACCAAGCCUGCUGCCUAUAAAUAUCUACAUUUAUUGCCUGUGCAUAUACCUAAAAUUCCACCAUGAGAAAUCUAUUUCCAUGAAAUUAGGAACUACCCAGAAACCCUCUGUCCAAAUAAAAAUUCCCACAAGAAAAUAAGGAUGGCUAAUAGAUUUAACUAGUAGUGCCAAGUCUUUUGGACCAGAGGAACUGCCAGGGACAGUGUGUUGAGGAUUCUGAGGUCAUGUUCCCGCUUAGCAGAGAAGGGUGCUGCCAUGAGGGGAGGAGUGAGGGAGGGGAGCACUUGUGCCACAUAGCUUUUCUUAAGUUAAACCUUUGUUAGUGGAAUGCAUGAUGAAACAGGGACAGCCAGGGUCUCUGGCAUCUGGGAGAAAGCCCACUUGGAAACUGAUUUAUCCAUCUCAUCACUGCAAGUUCACCAUCUGUCCCCAGGCUAAAUGGCCUUAGGAAGCCCAGUCCCUCCCUUGCCACACUCUACCUUCUUUAUGCUUCCGUACUUUUCAAGAAGAGAAAUGGUGUGUGUGUAUGGUAUAUAUAUAUACACACUAUAUAUCAUAUAUAUGAUAUCCUUGAGAACUAGGAUGUACCUGUGAUCAGGCAGUCUAGCAUGCAGCAGGGUCAGGCAUAGGUUGAAGUGAGAGAGGAAGCUACUUUGCUCCCCAGUGACUUCUCCCACCUCCCGUAGUUUCAAGGCCUGUUUCUUGAGGAAUAGCAAUAUUCCCAGCUCAAAAAUGACAGCUGGCCAAGGGACUAAGUCUGGGCAAUAAGAUGUGAGUGGACGCUUCCAGCAAAGCUCUCUAAAAAGGCUACCUCUUCUCUGCUUCUUGGAGUGUGGUCAGGAUAGCUGGAAUUCUAGCAUCCAGUUUUGAAUGCCAGGUGACCUCGAAGAUGGAAGCCAUGAACUAGGAGAAUGUCCCCGUACAGAGUUCCUCCUCUCCAGAAUAUGCAGAAUGAAAGCAGAGUUCCUCCUCUCCAGAAUGGAAACAGAGAGUAGCCCUCGCCAGACCCCAAUUCUGCCAGCACCUUAAUCUUGGACUUCCCAGCCUCCAGAACUGUGAGCAGUAAAUCUUCAUUGUUUGUAACUUACCCAGUAGGUGUUAUUUUUUAUACCAGCACAAACAGGCUGAGACUGAUAUUGGCACUGAGAAGUGGGGGUAUUGCCACCAGCACACAACACCAGCCUGGGGCAGCCCCAGGAACAACAGAAUCCCAUAAGAGCAUGGACUGUCCUCAGCAAAGCCACCCAACCACACCCAUGUGGGACAUGAGUCAAAGAAGGUGAGAUUCAAGCUUUAAGAUUUAAUGUUGUUUGCCCUUGUUGGGUUUUGGACUUAACUGGGGACAGUUAUCCCUUUCUUCUUGCCUGUUUUUCCUUUUUGGAAUGGGAAUGUCUAUCCUAUGCUUGUCUCAACAUUGUAUUUUGGAAGUAAAAAUACAAUGUUUGGGAAAACUUGUUUGAUUUCACAGGCUUACAGCUAGAGGGGAAUUUGCAUCAAGAUAAAUGGUACUAACAGAGAAUAGCUGGGCUCCUGGCUAAACCCCACCCUUAAGCUUGGAACUGUGGCCCUAGAAACAGCUGGCCCGGUUUUUCCACCCAAAUGUUGCUUUUUUGGCCUGCCACGCUCCUAUUAUGUGCCCAUAAAGACUUCAGCGGGCAGAGCAACACAAGCAGCUGAGCAUCGGGAAUACAAGCUGCUGAGCGUUGGGGAUAUGAGCAACUGUCAGGGACUACAGAUAAACAGGGCUAACUUCAGAUGGUGCAGCUUCAGAGGGGAGCCUGGCUAGAGACGGCUGGGCUUCAGGAAAAGAUCUCCUCCUCCUGCACCAUCCCCUUUCCAACUCCCCUUCCACCAAGAGCCACUUCCAUUGUUCAAUAAAGUCUUCCACAUUCAUCGUCUUUGAAA